ensembl:lncRNA
GUAUCUGUAUGAAGGUGGUUAGAGUCAGAUGUAUCUGUAAGAAGGUGGUUAGAGUCAGAUGUAUCUGUAUGAAGGUGGUUAGAGUCAGAUGUAUCUGUAAGAAGGUGGUUAGAGUCAGAUGUAUCUGUAUGAAGGUGGUUAGAGUCAGAUGUAUCUGUAUGAUACAUCAUCUGUAUGAGUCAGAUGUAUCUGUGACACAAGCAGUACAGCUAGCUAAAUGUGAGUUAUGAUGAUGACAUUUUCUUGGUAGUUGUGGUGUAAGUACCUUUGUCAUUGUCGCACGGCUACACGCUUACAGUGUAGGCUGUUUUUUUUACACUCCUCUAAAGUAAUCAGGCUGGUUUUUAUUUUAUUUUAAUCACGGAUUGUACACACUGUAUAUAACCAACAUAACUCUUUGACAUGCACAUCACACUAAUGCAUACGCUGUUAGUGCGUAUCCCGUUGCCGCCUCUUUGGAACUGUACUAGCGAGCCUACUUAAAAUGAUCCUCAUUUUCUUUUCCCCCUCCUCCGUUUUCUCCUGGAGUCCCACUCACGGUCAGCUCUCCCCAACAAAGAACAGCUCCCAUCCAGGGAGGACGAAGUCUCACAAGUGCUUCCUUCCAAGACACGUGGAACCAGCCAUUCCCAUCUUUUCAUAACACACUCAAAGGGAAGCGCAAUUUUGCUGUCAGGCUUUGAAUUCACAAUCUCCGGACAAUGAGGCAGAUGCUUUUGUGUCGCACCACUGCUAUUUGGGCCGGCCCUCUUUCUGUGUUAUAAAAUGGAGUAAAAGGGUCAGCGAUAAGGGUUCUGCUAAAAUCUCAGACUGUAAUAAGACACUGUGUAAAGGAAGUGCGUCCGUGGCCAGCGUUCUGCUUGAAUACCUCAUGUGUUCACUGACACUGAAGUGCAAGUUAAGUGUGUCAACAUGACCGGGGACAUAAUUAACUUAAUAAAUAAUAAAUAACCAAGCCCAAGUGGAUGCACAAUGGGAAAGGGGUGUUUGCCAUGUGUGUGUGUGUGUGUGUGUGUGUGUGUUUACUGAGCCCAUGUGUGCAAGUGAUUUAGAUAAGCCUGUGUAAUUGCCCUCAUUACUGCCACUGUGUUUGAGUAGCUUUGCCGUUCAGGCCGUAGCGGGGAUUGAGUGUGCGCCGCAAAGAGGUGCUCGAGCUCGCACGCAAACAAGGCUGGCCACGCGUGGGUUCGUCGCUUCCCCACAGGCGCGCACACACGCAAACACGAUAACAACUCAACAUGAGGUUAGCAGCUCUGCUGCUCUAUAAUUUACAGCCUUUCCAUUCAGAUCUUCCUACACACGCACAAAUGCAGACACUCCUGCCGUCUGAGUGAUGGCCUGCUAGCUCCGAGCGCGUGUGCUUAAUGUCACUGAUGCCGGGUCUGGACAAACGCUACGGAGAAAUCACCAGCACGCAGCAAGCUUCGCUGUCCUCUCAUCAAUCCUCCGCUCUAUUUAUAACACAUCCGCAGCUGUGAACAGAAGGAGCAAGCAAUUUUCAAAACAGGGACAGGUAGGGAGCAGGCAUGGACAGGAACACAUUCGGACUGUUGGCUUAUAUCGAGUACUGAACAUCAUCUGGUUCUACAACUAACAAAUGCAACUAGUUUGUUGUUCUACAACAACUAACUUCAUUGGAACUGACAGGCGCAUAGGCAACGCCCUUUUCACUUGGACUGACAGACACAGAGGCAACACCCCAUUUAUUGGGACGAACAGGCACGGCAGUCUUUCAACAAGAUAGGCAGAUAGAGAAGCCACGCCUCGUUCACUAAGGCAGGCAAAACUAUCAGGCCAUGCCUCUUUUACUGGGAUGGAGAGGCACAGAGGCUAUUCCCACUUAAAUGGGACUGAGGCAUAGAGGCCACACCUCCUUCACUGGGACAGACAGACACAGAGGCCACACCUCCUUCACUUGGACUGACAAACACAGAGGCCACACCUCCUUCACUUGGACAGACAGACACAGAGGCCACACCUCCUUCACUGGGACUGACAGACACAGAAGCCACACCUUCUUCACUGGGACAGACAGACACAGAGGCCACACCUCCUUCACUGGGACAGACAGACACAGAGUCCACACCUCCUUCACUGGGACUGACAGACACAGAAGCCACACCUUCUUCACUGGGACAGACAGACACAGAGGCGAAACCUCCUUCACUGGGACAGACAAACACAGAGGCCACACCUCCUUCACUGGGACAGACAGCUACAGAGGCCACACCUUCUUCAAUGAGAUUGAAAGAUACAGACUCCACACCUCCUUCAAUGAGAUAGACAGAUACAGUGGCCACACCUCCUUCAAUUAGAUAGACAGACACAGAGGCCACACCUCCUUCACUGGGACUGACAGACACAGAGGCCACACCUUCUUCGAUGAGAUAAACAGAUACAGCGGCCACACCUCCUUCGAUGAGGGACAGAUACAGAAGCCCCUCUGGAAGACACCAGAAGCCUAAUAUGAGUAUUUUACACUAGACCCUAUAUAACUCCACUACACCCUACAUCACUUAUACAUAUAGCCCUUUUCACCCCAGGCUUAGAGCACUUGGUAGCGUUUUUUUACUGUGCUGAGGACGGACAUUUUUCACACUCUUUAUUGUUAAUAAACCAGCUUUAAUUAGGCUAUUUUCUAUGUCAUGUUUUGCUUCUGUGUCGCUGUUUCUGUUUCUGUGUAGCUGCUUGUUUUGUUUUGUUUUGUUUUUUAUUAAGUAGUCCAACAACAUUUUGUAAGACAGCAUUAAUAUUUGAUGCGCAGGAUGUUAAUGGUGUUGGCAACAUUUUGGCAAGACUUUCUUGAUAGUUGUCUCGGCGAACGCUCCUGCCUCAUCCUGUUUAUUGUAUGUACAUUUGUAAUGCAAAUAGAGUCUAAUCUGUUGUUUAUCCUACAGCGCUGCAGUCCCAGAGCGAGGCUGUUUAAACUAUUUAGGUCGUUUAUUCCGAUGACAUUAUGCAGCUUAUAAAUCUCUUGUUUUUGUGUGUUGAUAUUAAUACUUCUUUAUUUAACAGAAAAUCUUUUAAGACAAAAUGUCUCUCAGAAGUAUUAAGAAUGAAUGUCCUCAGCACUCAAACGCAUUGUUUUU